rnacentral:rRNA from 1 species
GGAAUCUUCCACAAUGGACGAAAGUCUGAUGGAGCAACGCCGCGUGAAGGAUGAAGGCUUUCGGGUCGUAAACUGCUUUUAUGAGUGAAGAUUUACGACGGUCACUCAAGAAUAAGGAUCGGCUAACUACGUGCCAGCAGCCGCGGUCAUACGUAGGAUCCAAGCGUUAACCGGAAUCACUGGGCGUAAAGAGUUGUGUAGGCGGCUUUGUUCAAGCAAGGAGUGAAAUAGUGUGGCUCAACCACAUAAACAUUCUUUGAACUGGCAAGCUAGAGGGCGAGAGAGGUUAUUGGAAUUUCUUGUGUAGGAGUGAAAUCCGUAGAUAUAAGAAGGAACACCGAUGGCGUAGGCAGAUAACUGGCUCGCACCUGACGCUCAGACACGAAAGCGUGGGUAGCAAAC